AUGCAGGCCCCGACGAACCCCCCCGUCGACCUCCCGCCGCUGGUGGCGCCGCCGCCGCGGGUGAAGGCGCCGACCCCGCGCCCCCCUCCGCCGGCUUCGCUCCAGCCCGACUCCCCGGGCGUCUUCUUCACCAACGCUGCCGCAGCCGCCCCACUGGGCUCCGCCCACCGCCGCAUCGCCAUCGCCGUCGAUCUGUCCGACGAGUCCGCCUACGCCGUAAGCUGGGCCGUCGCCAACUACCUCCGGCCCGGGGACGCCGUCAUCCUCCUGCACGUCCGCUCCACCAAUGUCCUCUACGGCGCCGAUUGGGGCUCCGUCACCCCCACAUCCCCCGUGGACGACGCUGAGGUCGCCGCGCGCAAGAUGGAGGAAGACUUCGACGCCCUCACCGCUUCCAAGGCCGACGACCUGGCCAAGCCACUCGAGGAGGCGAAGAUCCCCUACAAGAUCCACAUCGUCAAGGAUCACGACAUGAAGGAGAGACUCUGCCUCGAGGUGGAGAGGCUAGGGCUUAGCGCGGUGAUCAUGGGGAGCAAGGGGUUUGGUGCGGCGCGGCGGGCCAGCAAGGGAAGGCUCGGGAGUGUGAGCGAUUACUGCGUCCACCACUGUAUUUGCCCCGUGGUGGUGGUGCGUUCCCCUGAUGAUGCUGUAGCAGAGGGCGGGGAGUCCGCCACUGCGAUGGAGGCGGCAGUGGGUGCAGAGGACGUGCUGCACCCUGUGCCAGAGGAGGAUGCUGAGUACCAUGACGCCGCUGAGGAGCACAAGGAUACUUGA
rnacentral:rRNA from 1 species